rnacentral:rRNA from 1 species
GAAUCCCACAGGCCGUAAACCCAAGGUUUCCAGGGGAAGGUUCGUCCGCCCUGGGUUAGUCGGGACCUAAGCUGAGGCCGAAAGGCGUAGGUGAGGGACAACAGGUUGAUAUUCCUGUACUACCGAUAACCGUUUGAGAGAAGGGAUGACACAGUAGGAUAAGCUAAGCACACUGUUGGUUAUGUGUGCCCAAGCAUUGAGGCAGUCAAAGUAGGCAAAUCCGCUUUGAUAAUGCUGGGAUGUGAUGGGGAGCGAAAUUUAGUAGCGAAGUAGCUGAUUUCACACUGUCAAGAAAAGUCUCUAUCGAGGUUAAAGGUACCCGUACCGCAAACCGACACAGGUGGGUGAGGAGAGUAUCCUAAGGCCAGCGAGAGAACUGUUGUUAAGGAACUCGGCAAAAUGACCCCGUAACUUAGGGAUAAGGGGUGCCACCAUC